UUUCAAUGAAAUGUAUCAUACAGUGUACUCGUGAAUCAUUCGACGUUUAACUUCAGUACUGGUUAGUUGGUCUUACAAUAUCGUUACAACAUGGCAAGAGCAAUGCUUCUUUUGAUAAUAGUAUUAGUCUGUGUUCAACAAGUAACAAGCGGUAUAUGUAAGUAGUUUGUACAAUUAAAAGAUUAUGGUUUAGUAGAAAAAAAUACAGGGACAAAACCUAAAAAAAAAAAAAAAUCAUAUUUUCCCCAAAUAAUUGUUAGCGGGUUUUUUUUUCGCUAUUCUCUCGAUAAUGUAAAAUUAACGAAUAUAGAUUGUACGUAAAAUAAAAUGUAAUCAUCACCUUUUGCGUACAUGUGAUUUGUUUUUUUUUGCGAUAUCAAUGUGAAUAUCGUUCCUCUAGCACGAAUAAUGUAUUCAAAUCAAUAACUUUAAUGUGACAAGCUCAUUUAUCAUUCAAUGUACAAAUAGAAACCCGGGUCCCCAUUUAGAAAUGUUCAUCCUUAAAUAUCACAAAAAAUUGCAAUUAAAACUGCAAUACGUUUCAACUACAAUAUGAUAAAUCAGAUACAGUAACGCUCUAUAGAAACGGAAAAGCCACAAAAUACUGCAAAUAAUACUUCAGAUCAAACAACAUGAUUCCAACAUAUAAACCUCGUAUGCUCCAGUUAAGGUAGCACAAUACAAAGAUUUUUUCACUCCCAAUCAGACAACUUUAAACUGAUGUAAUUCAUUUCAUCCUUCUUUAUAUUUUAUAAAUGAGGUACAAAAGAAAAGAAGAAAGAUUAAUCUUUCAAAUUGUGAUAAUUUCAUUAUGACAUAAUUAUUACAUAAUUAAUUAUUAUGUAAUUAGUUGCUAUAUUGUGAUGUCCACACUUGAAUGAAUUUAGCGUCUUUGUUCUUCAUAGCAUCUAAAAAUAUUUUAUAGAUUCUUAUACUACACAGCUUGACCUCCAAAACUGUGUCUCAGAUUUCCAAAAACAUCAAUAGAACAAAUUUUAUACCCAAUUGAAUUUAGUGGUCUCUUAUGAAUUGAUGUUGCAAAUUUCAUUGAAGAUUUAUGAGAGAAUGAAAUACAAUUAUAGGAAAAAUCUGAGACACAGUUUUGGAGGUCAAAAUGUGUUGUGCAAGAAUCUAUAAAAAAUUUUGGGAUGCUAUGAAAAACAAAGAAGCUAAAUUCAUUUAAGUAUGGGCAUCACAAUAUGGCAACUAAUUACAUAACAAUUAAUUAUAUAAUAAUUAUGUCAUAAUAAAAUUAUCACAAUUUGAAAGAUUAAUCUUUCUUCUUUCUUUUGGUGCCUCAUUUAUAAAAUUUAAAGAAAAUAAGUGGAAUUACAUCAGUUUAAAGAUGUCUGAUUGGGGAUGAAAAAUCUUUGUAUUGUGCUACCUUAAAUAGACUACUGCUGCUCUAAUUGUGGCAUCCGUCGUGAUUGUCAUUAAAAUUACACAGAUUGAAAAUGUAUAUACAAAUCGUCAUUAAAAUUACACAGAUUGAAAAUGUAUAUACAAAUCGUCAUUAAAACUACUUGGAAACAAAACAAGGCAUUAAUCCGAAGUCUGUAAAUUACAAAUAAACCAGGCCACAUAUAAAGCCUAAAAAAGAACAUCGUUUACAAUCAGAGACAACUAUGACGGAGUAAUGGUGAUCAGUUUCAGAAAAAGAAUAGAAUUCCUAUUGUUAUAUAUACAUGUAAUGAUAUUGUCUGUGAUAGCUCUUGUCAAUGGAUAAAUAUCUUUUCAGUGUUUGUUCCAAGGAGAUCAACAUACAGUAAAUAUAAAAAAGAAGAUGUGGUAUGAUUGCCAAUGAGACAACUCUCAACAAGAGACCAAAAUUGCACAGCAAUAAACAACUAUACAUACCCGUAGCCAGGGGGGGUUCGAGGGGUUCGGACGAACCCCCCCUUGAAAACUAAUAAGCACUGUUAAAGUCGAUGUUCUGUUCGAAUUGUGACUGUAAAGUCGAGUUUGUGAGUCAAACGAACCCCCCUUUGGAAAAUCCUGGCUACGGGCCUGCUAUAGGUCACCGUACGGCCGACCUCAUUAUCGCUAUCUCUUUCCCCUUCCGACUUUCUCCCGAGUCAAUGCUUAACAUGUAUGAACUGAUCAUCAAGGCAUAUGAGAAAUAAAAAGCUUGCGGAGUAAUGUAUUAUGAUCAUUUUAUAUAGCAACACGGUCCCAUCAAUUUUACUUUACGGAAAUUGGAUUGUUUUAAUUUGAAUCUCGAAAUUUCUGACUUUGUUUAAUUCGACUGAAAGUAUUGAGUGACGUACAUGUAUACAUUUCUUUUCCUGGAGAAUUUAGAUAUUGUAUUUAUUAAGAUAACUAUUUUUUUCUGUGCUGUAUCAAAUUAAUAUAAUUCGUAUUAUGUCUUUAGAUAUAACAAGAUGUGGUUUUAGUGCCAAUGAGACAGCUCCCCAUCCAGGUUACAAUUGGUAAAAAGUAAACCACAAUAGGUUAUAGUACGGCCUUCAACACGGAGCGUUGGUUUACAAUGAACAGCAAGCUGUAAAAAGCCCCAAAAGUGACAAGUGUAAAACAUUUCAAACAGGAAAACCAACGGUCUGAUCCAUAUAAAAAAAACGAGAAACGAGUAACAUUUACACAUUUCGAACCAUACCAACAAACAACAACCACUGAACAACAGGUUCCUGACUUAGGGGACAAGUGACCACAAAUGCAGCGGGUUUAAACGUUUUAAUAGGCGCAAACCUUCACCCUAACCUGAAACAGUAGUAUAACAUUACAACAUCGAAUGUUUCACAUAUAAUUUAUUAUUAUUGUUAUCAUUCUAGCUGUUGAGAAGAGAAAUGCAGAUAAAGACUGUCCCCAGGGUAUCAUAGACGAUUGUGCUAAUAAGGGGUGUAGUUAUUUACCAAAUGGAAUAGACUCAUGUGUUUGUUACUGUCCGGUACCUAUACCUUAAUUAUUAGUUUAUGUAUCCCACUGAUUGGAGGGUUCUUUAUUUGUUCUCUUUUGCCUUUAUUUCUCUAUAUAGUUUACUUUUUGUCCCUAUUUCUCUAUAUAGUUUACUUUUUGUCCCUCUUUCUCUAUAUAGUUUACUUUUUGUCCCUCUUUCUCUAUAUAGUUUACUUUUUGUUCCUCUUUCUCUAUUUGUUUUUCUGUGUACUUUUCUCUAUUCUGUAAAUCCAAUUCAAACAAUAAGAUAUAGUCAAAAGUGGCUUAUCGAUAUACUUAGGUCAGGUUUAGAAACUUAUGUCAGAUGUUCGGACCCCUUGUUUGUUUUCUAAGAGUGUAAAUAUGUUUCCUCAUAACACCAAUUUUUCUUUUCAUAGAAGACUUCAAUUGCCAAUAAAAGGUCGUUUGUCAAAAUUUAAGCAGAUCCGAGAUUUCCUUUCUUUCGGUUUGGUUAUAAAUAAUACCAGUGUUAAUAUAAGGUAAACGUUCGAGUAAGCCUUUUCCAACUAUUAAAAAAAGGAAAUGUCUCUUCCGACUUGUUAUAUCAAUUCUAUAUUUUAGACUUCAAGUUGUUUUUUUAAUUUCACCUUAGUACAAGCAAGAUACAAAAAUGAAUAUGAUCAUAUUUUUUUUCGUUUAGUUAUUAUUUUUAUCUUUAUACGCGUAAUAAUUAUUUAGAUGUCUUUUUUUUUCUUUUCUAGGAUGACAAAGGAAAGUGAAUAUGUUGACACGUGAUAUAUGUAGACUGUCUGAACAAUACAAUCCAAUCCAGUUGAUGACAAGUGCAUGUAAUAGUUGCAUAUAAUAUAUUAAAUAGUUUUCAUUUCUUCUU
rnacentral:lncRNA from 1 species